rnacentral:lncRNA from 1 species
UUUUGGGUUCAAACCACCGACCCAAAAUACUUAAAUUCAAUUAUUAUAGCUAGCUUGUGAAACUAUUGAGGAGUCGGAUCCAAACUAGAUUACAGAUGCAGACCAGAAUUACCAGGCAAACUAGAUUACAAAUGCAGAUCAGAAUUACCAGAAUUUACAGAUGCAGACCAGAAUUACCAGACAAUGUGAAACAGAUGCAGAUCAAAAUUACCAGGAUUUACAGAUGCAGACCAGAAUUAUCAGACAAUGUGAAACUAGUGAGGGAAUUUUCAGAUGUAGACCAGACAAUGUGAAACUAUUGAGGGAAUUUACAGAUGCAAACCAGAAUUACCAGACAAUGUGGAACUAUUGAGGGGACAAUGUGAAACCAGACAAUGUGGAACUAUUGAGGGAACAAUGUGAAACUAGUGAGGGAAUUUUCAGAUGCAGACCAGACAAUGUGAAACUAUUGAGGGAAUUUAGAGAUGCAGACCAGAAUUACCAGACAAUGUGGAACUAUUGAGGGGUCGGAUCCAAACUAGAUUACAUAUGCAGACCAGAAUUACCAGGCAAUGUGAGAGCUUCUAGAAAUCCGUUAGUGUAGCAUUUUGUCCUGCAUAGGGACUUAACUCUCACACUUUUGGCUGGUAUUUGGCUCUGAUACCAAUUGUAACGACCCGACCCGCUUGCAAUCAUAACUUGUUGGGCCCAAACCGAUGUGGGACUAUUAGAGCGUUACAGAUAAGGGGAUGAUUGGUUUGACGUAAAAAUAUGAAAAGUAAUUUUCGACGAAAAAGAGUUUUUAAUGAAAAAAUAAUUUUACGCUUUUUGAUAUUUGAUUUGUUGUAAAAGAAAAUUAAACUUUAUGCCCCACGUGUUUGGUUCGGAGAAAAAAAAAAUCUAAGAAUUUAUUUUUUUUUAUUAUUAUUUGAUUAUAUAAAAGAUAUUUUAAAUUUUUACUUAAAAUUAUAUGAUUUAAAAACUUA